rnacentral:rRNA from 1 species
GCUUAGCCCUAAAUCUUGAUACUCACCUUACCAGAGCAUCCGCCUGAGAACUACGAGCACAAACGCUUAAAACUCUAAGGACUUGGCGGUGCCCUAAACCCACCUAGAGGAGCCUGUUCUAUAAUCGAUAACCCACGAUACACCCAGCCAUCUCUUGCCAAUACAGCCUACAUACCGCCGUCGCCAGCCCGCCUAAUGAAAGAAUAGCGAGCACAAUAGCCACUUCGCUAACAAGACAGGUCAAGGUAUAGCGUAUGAGAUGGAAGAAAUGGGCUACAUUUUCUAACAUAGAAUAUCACGAAAGAAGAUGUGAAAUACCUUCAGAAGGCGGAUUUAGCAGUAAAACAGAAUAAGAGAGUCUAUUUUAAACUGGCUCUAGGGC